GUCCACACGGUAAACUAUGGAUACUCGCUGUAGGCGAUACACGGUCUGCGGCCAAGCGAAAGCAUUAAGUAUCCCACCUGGGGAGUACGCCGGCAACGGUGAAACUCAAAGGAAUUGACGGGGGCCCCGCACAAGCGGAGGAACAUGUGGUUUAAUUCGAUGAUACGCGAGGAACCUUACCCGGGCUUAAAUUGCAACUGAAUAACUUAGAGAUGAGUUAGCUAGCAAUAGCAGUUGUGAAGGUGCUGCAUGGUUGUCGU
rnacentral:rRNA from 1 species